ACGAACGCUGCGGCGCGCCUAACACAUGCAAGUCGAACGAGCGAGAGGAGGUUUACUUUCUCAAGCGAGUGGCGAACGGGUGAGUAACGCGUGAGGAACCUGCCUCAAAGAGGGGGACAACAGUUGGAAACGACUGCUAAUACCGCAUAAGCCCACGACCCGGCAUCGGGUAGAGGGAAAAGGAGCAAUCCGCUUUGAGAUGGCCUCGCGUCCGAUUAGCUAGUUGGUGAGGUAAUGGCCCACCAAGGCGACGAUCGGUAGCCGGACUGAGAGGUUGAACGGCCACAUUGGGACUGAGACACGGCCCAGACUCCUACGGGAGGCAGCAGUGGGGAAUAUUGCACAAUGGGGGAAACCCUGAUGCAGCGACGCCGCGUGGAGGAAGAAGGUCUUCGGAUUGUAAACUCCUGUUGUUGAGGAAGAUAAUGACGGUACUCAACAAGGAAGUGACGGCUAACUACGUG
rnacentral:rRNA from 1 species